AUGGCGUCGUCCGACAUGGACGUGAGCUUGGAUUUCUCUUGGGAGGCCCUGGUGCUCGAGCUCGGCGACGCAGAUAGCAUGCACCUGCCGGCCGAGGACUCUCUCUCCGGCCUCUACGACGACUCGACGAGCUCGCCGGACGGCGCCACCUCGCGGUCGACCAAGGCAAGCAGCUUGGAGAGGAAGAACAUAAUCAACGAGAGGCACCGGCGCAGGAUGCUCAACGAGAAGCUCUACGCCCUUCGCCGUGUCGUUCCAAACAUCACCAAGAUGGACAAGGCGUCCAUCAUCCAGGACGCCAUCGCCUACAUCGAGGAGCUGCAGGAGCAGGAGCGCCAGAUCCUGGCCGCCCUCAGAACCGACAGCUGCACCGCCGUGGUCAAGGCGGACGACGCCGCCUCGACCGGCAGCAACGCGGAGGACCAUGGCGUCGGCUCCUCGCCGCGGAAGAAGAUGAGGAGGACCACCUCUGCCUCCUCCAUUAACGGCGCCUUCUCUUCUCCUAACCCGCAUCCGGUUCAAAUCCUCGAGCUGGAGGUGACGCAGGUAGCAGAGGAGUUGACAAUGGUGAGCAUGAGACAUGGAAAUGCCCACGAAGCCACUGCGAAGGUGUGUGAGGCACUCGAUUCGCUCUGUCUCAAGGUCAUCUCAACAAGCAUCACUGCCGUGGCCAGUGGCAUCGUCCACAACAUGUUCGUUGAGACGGAAGGAAUGCAUGGUGCUCAAACAAUCAAGGAGAUGAUACAAACUCACUCAGCCAUCUCGAUGUGA
rnacentral:rRNA from 1 species